CUCCAUGAUCUAAGCACAAGUUGUUCCGAUAAACAAGGCUGUCUUAAAUGGCUGUGUGGCAAUGUGCAUGAAACUGCUCACCUCGUACCCUUCCAAGGGAUAGAAUGGAAUUCAAAUUCCGGCCGUGCCAAAGAGUAGCAGAAACGCAUCAUCAGCCAAUUAACUCAGGCAAGGCAAGCUAUAAACAUUUCCUCAUCCGCUCAAACAAUACUUCAACUUUUGCUGCGUGCCUACAUUUUGACACCCACAUGAUUGAUUAUACGAAGAACUCCAAAGGAAAUUAAUGGCAACCAAUGUACAACAUCAUCACAUGGUUACUUCCUUCACAUGAUCUCAAUCAAAAAUGAGGAGAGCAUGAAGCUGACAGGUUCAUGAUUGAAGACACAAUCAAAAGGAGAGCAAGUAGCACAAGGCAUUCAUUGAUUGGUAUGGUGAUGAAGGAUUGUUUGAGAGUGGAAGGGAUAAUAUUGGAUGAGGUAAGUAAUAAGUGCAUGGCAAGUGGCGUUGGUAGCGUCCCAAAGAGAUAAGAAGGAAGGUAUACGAUUUAUAUUUACAAUAAAUAUUGAAUGUGACCAUGGGAAAUUCAGAGAGAUGACGAAUGGUCUUUGACUUGAAAUUUGGCCAUUCAUUUAUUUUUCCUUUUAAACUAUACAUUACAUUGAUAAAAUACCUGAAGCAUGCGCAAUGAACAUGUAAAA